UAUAAUAAAAUUCAGAAAUUAAUUAAUAAUUUAUGUUCAACCAUAUUCUUCCUUUUUUCAAAAUCAAGUUGGCCAAUGCUUUCAAGUCAUCGUCGCUUUCUGGAAAUUCGAAAUAAAAUAUUUUCAUUCAAAUUCAAAUUUUCAUAUUCUCCAACAAUUGAAAGGACCUCUUAUCGAUAACAAGUCUUCAAUUUGUUCAAAAUUCAUGGCAUAUGGAAAGCAAAUAGAGCGAUAUCACCUCCAGCAAAAUGAGCUGCAAAUGCAUUGAAGCGCAGCCAAAUCAUCCUCGUCAUCAUCGCUGCUGUUUACAAAUGUGCAACAUUAUUACAAAGGCGGAUUGAACACCAAAAAAAUACCAAAAACAAAACAAAAUUUGAGAGAGGAUUUUCAAAGAAUAACCGCAAUGUGUAUCAUUUCUGUUACAAAGGACUCUUCUUCGAGUAUUGAAACUAUCAUUUCGAAAAUUUUGAUGUAUAGAACGAGUCAUUGAGGCCAUAUAUGAACAUACAAUUCCAUAGAAGUCUUAUACAAAAAUAUAAAAUUCCAAUAAUCUGUGCAGUAGAUAUGUUACAAUUUUUGACUCAAGAUAUUGGUAAUUUUUCCAUGAAAAACCUGGCAUAAUUAAAUAAGACUUGUGUGCAAAAUGUAAAUGUUCAGAAAAAUUGUUCUCUCCAAUGUCAUUAUUUGAUCGACAUCGGAAAAGACUUGGAAAAUAAAAAAUAAACGUCACGAUAGCUUCCGAACAAAGUGAA